CAGAAAUCAAAACAAAGCAGAUUAAAAUUUGCUCCAUACAAAAUGCUUGUCAGACAUUAGACACCCUCUUAUAAUUUUCUCAAGACUCUGUGACACUGGAUGCUACCAUAGUCAAGCCUGAAACUAUUUGGAAACUAGUAGAUAUCAAGGUAUUAAGAAGGAGCAAAGAUGGAAAGCCUUGAAAGUUGAAACAGACAUUAAUACAAUAGAGCGAGAGAUGGCGGCUAGGUUUCUUUACUGGGGUGGAGUGGUGGAGGUGGUAGUGAUGCAGCAUCAGAGAGCUCAGACUUGGUCUUGGGCAUGCCCUUGAUACGGGCAAUAUAUUUGUUUGCUUUUUCACUGAGACUCGUCAGUUUCUUGGGCAGGUGCUUCCCCUCCUCACUGACUCUUUUCAUUGAUGGGGGUGACUCCUCCUUCACUUCACUUUCUUCAUCCUUCCAUUGGGGUUGCACUUCUUCUUUCUCUUUCUCUGUGGAAGAAAAGCAUGAGCAUAAACCUGUGCGGCACAUCUCUCUCUCUGCUGAUUCUCCCAUGUAGUCUACCAGGAGGCUUCUAAUAUAAUGCCAUGAGGAAACUGGUGGUCGCGUAAGAAGUAAGGGAAUGAAAAGCAAA
rnacentral:lncRNA from 1 species